rnacentral:rRNA from 1 species
CCUACGGGAGGCAGCAGUGAGGAAUAUUGGGCAAUGGAGGCAACUCUGACCCAGCCAUGCCGCGUGAGUGAAGAAGGUUUUCCGAUUGUAAAGCUCUUUCUGAUGUGACGAUGAUGCCGGUAGUAUCUCACGAAUCCCCGGCUAACUUCGUGACAGGAGCCGCGGUACUACGAAGGGGGCAAGCGUUGUUCGGAAUUACUGGGCGUAAAGGGAGUGUAGGGGGUUUAGUAAGAUAGGGGGGAAAUGCCAGGGCUUAAAUUUGGAAUAGCCAUUCAAACUAUCAGGCUAGAAUUACAGAGAGGAUAGUGGAAUACGCAGUGUAGAGGUGAAAUGCGUAGAUAUUGCGUAGAACCCCAGUGGCGAAGGCAACUAACUGGCUGUACAUUGACGCUGAGGCUCGAAAGCAUGGGGAUCGAACAGGAUUAGAUACCCGGGUAGUC